rnacentral:rRNA from 1 species
GACGAACGCUGGCGGCGUGCUUAACACAUGCAAGUCGAACGGAAAGGCCCUGCUUUUGUGGGGUGCUCGAUUGGCGAACGGGUGAGUAACACGUGAGUAACCUGCCCUUGACUUUGGGAUAACUUCAGGAAACUGGGGCUAAUACCGGAUAGGAGCUCCUGCUGCAUGGUGGGGGUUGGAAAGUUUCGGCGGUUGGGGAUGGACUCGCGGCUUAUCAGCUUGUUGGUGGGGUAGUGGCUUACCAAGGCUUUGACGGGUAGCCGGCAUGAGAGGGUGACCGGCCACAUUGGGACUGAGAUACGGACCAGACUACUACGGGAGGCAGCAGUGGGGAAUAUUGCACAAUGGGAGGAAGCCUGAUGCAGCAACGCCGCGUGCGGGAUGACGGCCUUCGGGUUGUAAACAGAUUUCGAAUGUGACGAAGAGUGAGUGACGGUAAUGGGUAAAGAAGCACCGGCUAACUACGUG